UACGGGAGGCAGCAGUGGGGAAUAUUGCACAAUGGGCGCAAGCCUGAUGCAGCCAUGCCGCGUGUAUGAAAAAGGCCUUCGGGUUGUAAAGUACUUUCAGUCGUGAGGAAGGUGUUAAGGUUAAUAACCUUAGCAAUUGACGUUAGCGACAGAAGAAGCACCGGCUAACUCCGUGCCAGCAGCCGCGGUAAUACGGAGGGUGCGAGCGUUAAUCGGAAUUACUGGGCGUAAAGGGCACGCAGGCGGUUAAUUAAGUUGGAUGUGAAAUCCCCGGGCUUAACCUGGGAAUGGCAUUCAAGACUGGUUAGCUAGAGUCUUGUAGAGGGGGUAGAAUUCCAUGUGUGGCGGUGAAAUGCGUAGAGAUGUGGAGGAAUACCGGUGGCGAAGGCGGCCCCUGGACAAAGACUGACGCUCAUGUGCGAAAGCGUGGGGAGCAAACGAGGGAUUAGAUACC
rnacentral:rRNA from 1 species